rnacentral:tRNA from 1 species
UCUAUAGCUCAGCUGGUUAGAGCGCACGCCUGAUAAGCGUGAGGUCGAUGGUUCGAGUCCAUUUAGGCCCA